AACGAACGCUGGCGGCAGGCUUAACACAUGCAAGUCGAGCGCCCCGCAAGGGGAGCGGCAGACGGGUGAGUAACGCGUGGGAAUCUACCCAUCUCUACGGAAUAACGCAUGGAAACGUGUGCUGAUACCGUAUACGUCCUUCGGGAGAAAGAUUUAUCGGAGAUGGAUGAGCCCGCGUUGGAUUAGCUAGUUGGUGGGGUAAAGGCCUACCAAGGCGACGAUCCAUAGCUGGUCUGAGAGGAUGAUCAGCCACACUGGGACUGAGACACGGCCCAGACUCCUACGGGAGGCAGCAGUGGGGAAUAUUGGACAAUGGGCGCAAGCCUGGUCCAGCCAUGCCGCGUGAGUGAUGAGGGCCCUAGGGUUGUAAAGCUCUUUCACCGGUGAAGAUAAUGACGGUAACCGGAGAAGAAGCCCCGGCUAACUUCGUGCCAGCCGCCGCGGUAACAC
rnacentral:rRNA from 1 species